ensembl:lncRNA
UUAAAGUCAGUGUGGCAGCAGGCCUGCGGUCUACAAAAUGUAUUUGAGUCAUGUGCCGUUGCAUAAGGAAGCAUCACACAUUUCACUCUGUGCUUUAUUCUUUGCCUAAGUGCUGCAUGAAAAGCAUCUGAUUACCAAAUGUAUCCAGAACAUUUUAAAAUACUGAACUAUGUUUUCCCCCCAUCCUAACACUACCUCCCUCCCCUCCCCUGCUCUCUUCAAGAGAUUAUGUCCCUAAAGAUCCUUUUUGUGUUAUCAUUAACUCUGCUAAAGUAACAAAUAUUUCCUUUUUCUUUUUUCUAUCCUGAACCAUGUUGCAUCAGAAGGAAGCCCACACUAGAGUUUUAGCAGCAAAUUUUGCACCAGUUGACUAGAAAAUAACAAACCCUUGUUCCAAUCCCUUGAAAGCCACUUUCCUUGAUACCAAGACAGCCAGAUGGAGAUGCGCACACAUCACACAGUUUCUCCAGAUGCACAAAAAGACGAAGAUGACAUUCUGUGCAUCUUUACUCCUCCUGCCUCUUCGAUAUACUCAGAUACGAAUGUCUCUGAAGCUAGAGUUUGCAGGUGUAUGAUCAUGGAGUUGUGUGACUUUUCACUCUGAGCAAAGCUCUUCAGACUUCCCCUGCGUGACGUUGAUUUUAACGCAAGCCGGUUUCAAACAAACAAACAAACAGGUCGUGCCUUUCUCAACUCUUGUUCUGGCUAGGAUCAGUCCCAACAAGGGUGUGGUACAAACUUAAUACACAUAGGACUACAGAUGCUGCUUCUUAUUUUCUGUGAAAUUAAGUCUUCUCAUGGACAUUACAGGACAUGCCAAAACAAAUGUUGCUCACAAACCUCUUUCAAACUAUUAGGGAAACUUAUCUAAUGAUUUUUUUAAAAAACCUUUUUUUCUGAGAAUGUUCCAAGCACUCUAGAAGUACAGGCACAUUUCCAUUUUUAUUUUGAAAGGAUGGUUCCCUGCAGAGGAAAGGCAGUGGGGUAGCUAGUCCCUAGUAUCUUGAUACCACGAAGCAAGUCUUUGUACCAUGAAAGGCUUGGCCUUUGUACAAUAUCAGUUGGCUGGAUAGCUCAGUGGUUUAGGUAUCUGGUUGGGGAGCCAGAGUUUGGGAGUUCGAUUCCUCAGUGUGCCUCCUACAGGUAGAGCCAGCCUGUGUAGCUGUGGACAAGCUGUAAAGUCCUGGGAUGCCCCCAGACAAAGGGAGUGGUAAACUUCUGAGUACACUCUGCUAAGGAAACCAUGAAAAGUCAGAAUUGACUUGAUGGCACAUUGUUGUUGUUGUAUGAUGUCACUGACGUGGGGCAGGCAGCAGCUGGGGAAGCUGAACUGCUCUUGCGCUACCUGAUAAUCAACUCUCUCCCUCAGCUUUCCCUGUUAUUCGUGGUUGUUCAGAGCAGAUGAUCCCAGCUAGCGGCCAGCAUCGCAACUCGUGUGGUGUCAGCCAGCCUCCUGCAAUAUGGUUACCCCAGUGGCCCUCACUCUGAAUUCACAUAGGCCCAUAUUUUUUCGUUCUUAAAUGAGUAAGUACUAGGUAGAAUUCUUUUUAUUUCUAUAUAUUAGUAUAUUUCCUGCCCCUCAGUCCCAGAGGGUUCCCAGAACA